UACGAAGGGAGCUAGCGUUGUUCGGAAUUACUGGGCGUAAAGCGUGCGCAGGCGGUGAUGUAAGACAGGUGUGAAAUCCCCGGGCUCAACCUGGGAACCGCGCUUGAGACUGGCAUGCUCGAGUUCGGGAGAGGAUGGUGGAAUUCCCAGUGUAGAGGUGAAAUUCGUAGAUAUUGGGAAGAACACCGAUGGCGAAGGCAGCCAUCUGGACCGACACUGACGCUGAGGCGCGAAAGCGUGGGGAGCAAACAGG
rnacentral:rRNA from 1 species